rnacentral:rRNA from 1 species
AGUGAACGCUGGCGGUAGGCCUAACACAUGCAAGUCGAACGGCAGCACAGUAAGAGCUUGCUCUUACGGGUGGCGAGUGGCGGACGGGUGAGGAAUACAUCGGAAUCUACUUUUUCGUGGGGGAUAACGUAGGGAAACUUACGCUAAUACCACAUACGACCUACGGGUGAAAGCAGGGGAUCUUCGGACCUUGCGCGAUUGAAUGAGCCGAUGUCGGAUUAGCUAGUUGGCGGGGUAAAGGCCCACCAAGGCGACGAUCCGUAGCUGGUCUGAGAGGAUGAUCAGCACACUGGAACUGAGACACGGUCCAGACUCCUACGGGAGGCAGCAGUGGGGAAUAUUGGACAAUGGGCGCAAGCCUGAUCCAGCCAUACCGCGUGGGUGAAGAAGGCCUUCGGGUUGUAAAGCCCUUUUGUUGGGAAAGAAAAGCAGCAGGUUAAUACCCCGCUGUUCUGACGGUACCCAAAGAAUAAGCACCGGCUAACUUCGUG